AUUGAACGCUGGCGGAAUGCUUUACACAUGCAAGUCGAACGGUAGAGGGGGCAACCCCUCGAGAGUGGCGAACGGGUGAGUAAUAUAUCGGAACGUGCCCAGUCGUGGGGGAUAAGGUAGCGAAAGUUACGCUAAUACCGCAUACGAUCUACGGAUGAAAGCGGGGGAUCGCAAGAACUCGCGCGAUUGGGGCGGCCGAUGUCAGAUUAGGUAGUUGGUGGGGUAAAGGCUCAGCAAGCCAACGAUCUGUAGCUGGUCUGAGAGGACGACCGGCCACACUGGAACUGUGACACGGUCCAGACUCCUACGGGAGUCAGCGGUGGAGAAUUGUGGACAAUUUACGCAAGGCUGAUCGAGCCAUUCCGCGUGCAGGAUGAAGGCCCUCGGGUUGUAAACUUCUAUUGUACGUAACGAAAAGGUUACCAUUAUUACUUUGAGCUCAUGACGGUACCGUAAGAAUAAGCACCGGCUAACUACGUGCCAGCCGCCGCCGUAA
rnacentral:rRNA from 1 species